rnacentral:rRNA from 1 species
CGAACGCUGGCGGCGUGCUUAACACAUGCAAGUCGACCGGAAAGGCCCUGCUUUUGUGGGGUGCUCGAGUGGCGAACGGGUGAGUAACACGUGAGUAACCUGCCCUUGACUUUGGGAUAACUUCAGUAAACUGGGGCUAAUACCGGAUAGGAGCUCCUGCUGCAUGGUGGGGGUUGGAAAGUUUCGGCGGUUGGGGAUGGACUCGCGGCUUAUCAGCUUGUUGGUGGGGUAGUGGCUUACCAAGGCUUUGACGGGUAGCCGGCCUGAGAGGGUGACCGGCCACAUUGGGACUGAGAUACGGCCCAGACUCCUACGGGAGGCAGCAGUGGGGAAUAUUGCACAAUGGGCGGAAGCCUGAUGCAGCAACGCCGCGUGCGGGAUGACGGCCUUCGGGUUGUAAACCGCUUUCGCCUGUGACGAAGCGUGAGUGACGGUAAUGGGUAAAGAAGCACCGGCUAACUACGUG